CCUGGCGGUCCCCAGAGCUGGUUCCGGCUGCUGUUUACUUGUGCCCCACGAGGGGGUGGCUCUGAUUUGGAAAAGGUAACGGUUCCCAUGGGCCCUGCCCCGCCGCACAGCCCAGCGCAGGGACCUCGUACCUUUGUACCUCUCCAGGACAUCCUCGUAGGCCUGGAGGUACUCCUGCUCCUCCACAUACAGAACAAGGGAAUUCAGUGGCUGUGGAUGGAAUCCUCCUCACUGUGGGCCACCAGCAAGUAACUGACUCUCCUCAUGGAGAAAGGUGAUGGGCAUCGAUCGAACCAAGGCCUUAGGUAACCAAGGCAAGUGCUCUACCAUUGAGCUAUCUGGAGAUAUAGAAACACAACGUCACCGUCACCAGCGAUGUACUACAACACAAACCUGAUUACAUUACUACACUGCUUUAAAACCUCUUGGAGAUGCUCCACUGUGUACAGGAGUAGCCCUGGGGACUCCACAGUAGAGGCCAGCACCAGGGUACUCUCUACCAUCCCCUAGCAAUACCUCGGCUUAACUACACACACUGUUUGCAGUUCAGUUAAGCAAGUCCCCUAUGCUUGUCCAUGAAGUUCCAUUCCUUUGAAGUGGCCUUCCCUGUCAACCUAAUUCUAUCAAGCUCUCUUAAUCUCGGCUCAAGUGGUACUUGCUCUCAAAGGCCUUUCAGGAGCCUCGCACAUCUCCCCUUCUCCCCCAGGUUAAUUAGACUCCUCUGGGUUCUUUGAAUAUUAGACACCUCCAGCCAUGACAGCUGAUCUCUCAGAGCACGUUGUAACUGUCCGGGAGCCAUUGUGUCGUACUAGCUAUGACUCUUUAAAGACAGAACUAUGUAUUUUACUGCAAGAACUCAAUAAGCAUGUGUUAACUACGGGUGAAUGAACUUAUCCAACGGUCCGUGUGGCUUUUGACUCAGGGGCGCGCGUGGUGGUGGGGGGCAUUUCAUAAACAACUCUGAUGACCUUUAAAAUAUAUAUUAAGCUCUUUUACGACUG
rnacentral:lncRNA from 1 species